GAGCGCUCGCCUUUCUUCCCCCUGGUUUUGUUCUCACAGCUGUGUCCAUUCCGCCCGUGACCCCCCGAGUGAUCCCUGACAGGUUCUGCUUCCGACACCCCACCCCGCAGGUCCAUUUACAGACCUCCUCCUUUUUGGUUGGACUGACCUCCAGCAAAGGGUUUGCAAGCCCCCCAACACUGCCACUGGCUGCGGGGAGGCCACAGGACUUAGGGCUACGUCCUCUGGGAGGUGAGUGCUGGGGACCAGAGGGCGGGCGGGGACCUGCAGACUCCGGAGGAGCAACCCCUGGGCCCUCCUCAUCAGCUCUUGGGGGUCCACCCAUCUUCCCAGCACCGCUGACCCAGGCGCCAGGGGCCUCAGCCGUUUCAGGGCUGGAGUUGGCCGUUCUCCGGACCCUGGAAGGAGGGUGAAUUAAGUCCUACGUUUUAUGUAACCAUGCCUGCCUUUCUCCGAGGCUGAAGAACACAGAGACAUUCCAUUUCAGAGAAAAAAGGACCACACAAUGGCCCUCUUUGAGGGGAGGUUAAACAUUCACAUUGGGGAAAAAUAGCUAAUCCUUUACUAGCCCAGCUCACCUAUUUUGCUCUUUAUCUCCAGCCUGUGAGUUAGGAAAGGCAGAUGUCCGUUUUACAGAGGAAGAAACCGAGGCACAGAUGAAUGACCGAUGUGGGCCCACACUCCCAGGACAUCACCCUGUGACAAGGCAGAGGUGUGUGACCUUGACCCCAGGUGGGAUAUUGAUUACUUUUUUUACCUUGAGUUUUGUCGCAGUCCUGGAAGAUCAGGUGCCCACAGCUAGGAAUUUGUAAAAAACACUUUGUUCUCAGGCCUUUCUGAGAAAUUUACUCUGAGAGACCGAGCU
rnacentral:lncRNA from 1 species